UAGAGAGUGGCUCAAUGCUAGAGCACGUGUCUACCAUACACGCAGCCUUGGGUUCAAUGCCCAAUUAGGUAA
rnacentral:tRNA from 1 species